UACGUAGGGUGCGAGCGUUGUCCGGAAUUAUUGGGCGUAAAGAGCUCGUAGGCGGUGUGUCACGUCGGCCGUGAAAACCUGCAGCUUAACUGUGGGCGUGCGGUCGAUACGGGCAUCACUGGAGUUCGGCAGGGGAGACUGGAAUUCCUGGUGUAGCGGUGAAAUGCGCAGAUAUCAGGAGGAACACCGGUGGCGAAGGCGGUUCUCUGGGCAUGUCCUGACGCUGAGGAGCGAAAGCGUGGGGAGCGAACAGG
rnacentral:rRNA from 1 species